rnacentral:misc_RNA from 1 species
AUAUGAGUGUUUUUACUAUAAGAGAAAGGAAAAAAUAUAUACAACAAUCUGGGAACAAAAUUUAGAAUGACAUUCUACAAAUUUUCCGAGCUGUUAGCUGGAUCAUUUAUUCAGUACGAGAAGCUAGAAAAAUCUAUGGUAUCACUGUCCAAAAUUUGAAUUUCCACAAAUAUAAGCGCGAAAAGAAUAUCACAAGCAAUAAAAUCACCUUCGAGAGCCAUGUAAAAUGUGUGAAAAUUCUACCUUUGGACUUCAUUUCUCCAUUUUUGUGUGGUCAUAGAACUAUAACUAUGACUAACUGAAGCUGUAGAUUACCUUUUUAUGCAAAAUGUGCAUGUUCA